GUGGGGAAUAUUGGACAAUGGGCGAAAGCCUGAUCCAGCCAUGCCGCGUGUGUGAAGAAGGUCUUCGGAUUGUAAAGCACUUUAAGUUGGGAGGAAGGGCAGUAAGUUAAUACCUUGCUGUUUUGACGUUACCGACAGAAUAAGCACCGGCUAACUUCGUGCCAGCAGCCGCGGUAAUACGAAGGGUGCAAGCGUUAAUCGGAAUUACUGGGCGUAAAGCGCGCGUAGGUGGUUUUGUAAGUUGGAGGUGAAAUCCCCGGCCUCAACCUGGGAACUGCCUCCAAAACUGCAUGACUAGAGUACGGUAGAGGGUAGUGGAAUUUCCUGUGUAGCGGUGAAAUGCGUAGAUAUAGGAAGGAACACCAGUGGCGAAGGCGACUACCUGGACUGAUACUGACACUGAGGUGCGAAAGCGUGGGGAGCAAACAGGAUUAGAUACCCCUGUAGUCC
rnacentral:rRNA from 1 species